rnacentral:snRNA from 1 species
AUACCCACCUGGCAGGGGAGAUACCAUGAUCACGAAGGUGGUUUUCCCAGGGCGAGGCUUGUCCAUUGCACUCUGGAUGUGCUGACCCCUGCGAUUUCCCCAAAUGUGGUAAACUUGACUGCAUAAUUUGUGGUAGUGGGGGACUGUGUUUGCACUUUCCCUGG